rnacentral:rRNA from 1 species
GUAGGUGGCAAGCGUUGUCCGGAAUUAUUGGGGCGUAAAGCGCGCGCAGGCGGUUCUUUAAGUCUGAUGUGAAAGCCCACGGGCUCAACCGUGGAGGGUCAUUGGAAACUGGAGAACUUGAGUACAGAAGAGGAAAGCGGAAUUCCACGUGUAGCGGUGAAAUGCGUAGAGAUGUGGCGGAACACCAGUGGCGAAGGCGGCUUUCUGGUCUGUAACUGACGCUGAGGCGCGAAAGCGUGGGGAGCAAACAGGAUUAGAUACCCUGGUAGUCCACGCCGUAAACGAUGAGUGCUAAGUGUUAGGGGGUUUCCGCCCCUUAGUGCUGCAGCUAACGCAUUAAGCACUCCGCCUGGGGAGUACGGCCGCAAAGGCUG